UUGAUUUUCCGGAAUAGGUCGAUUUUUUUUGGUUACCGGAAACUAGUGUUUCCCUGUGGCAGUAUAUAAGGCUGAGACAAUGUGUGGUCUAGUAUAAUGUGGUUCUGUUCUCAAAAUCAUCCUUAAUCGGAUUAAUUGUGCCCAUUCCUUUCACAUGGAUAGUAUAUCAGUUAAUUAUUUAGAUCGACAUCAGCGUGGUUCUAUUGUUUUCAUGGACAUUUCUCGUACGGCAGAUAGCGGAAAACUUCAUCAUGGACAUAACUGGCAGUGGUGUGCCACUAGGUGGUGAGUGUGGUGACAUGAAAGUCGGAUGGCUGCCUGGUCGUGCGGUCUGCGCACUGGAUUGUCGUUUGGAUUUAUUGAUGGUCCCGGGUUCAAACCCUACCCGCUCCCUCCUCGUCCAGCCGGAGGUUUGGACUAGGAAGUAACUAUCUUCAACUCUGAAGGAACAUCCGGAACAUGUAAAACAAACAAAACAUACACUGAUGAUGCAGAGGCAGGGAGCAGUAGUGGUGUAGUUAAGUUGUAUUGGAUGAUACACUAACUUUGACACCUGGCAGCAUCGCAGAGCUCAAGAAGGAGAUAUGGCUGCGGUUUGACAUGAUUGUCAUACACACUAAUGUGGCAGCAACAGACAGGGAUGUAAUUUAAUACUUUAACAGAUUCUGCCACUAUCAUUGAGGGCAAGCAAAAAAGUUCAUAUUGGAAAAUUAUUUUCAACCUGGUGACUUAUUACAUCUACUUACUGUCGCCACAGUGCUAUAACCAAAAAAAGUUUUGUGCUAACUUCAAUCUCAGGUUUCAAAAUAAUGAAAAGAACAACACAAUUAAAUUCAUGCAUUUGUGCUGAAAAUUUUAUUCAUAUAUCUCUGAAAAUUAAAAAAUUACAGCCUUUUUAACAGAAAAAAA